rnacentral:rRNA from 1 species
UGCGUAGACGGUUAGGUAAGUCGGGUGUGAAAGCCCCGGGCUCAACCUGGGAAUUGCAUUCGAGACUGCAUAGCUAGGGUGCGGAAGAGGGAAGCGGAAUUUCCGGUGUAGCGGUGAAAUGCGUAGAUAUCGGAAGGAACACCAGUGGCGAAAGCGGCUUCCUGGUCCAGCACCGACGUUCAGGCACGAAAGCGUGGGGAGCAAACAGGAUUAGAUACCCUGGUAGUCCACGCCAUAAACGAUGAGAACUAGACGUUGAGAGGGUAAGCCUCGCAGUGUCGUAGCUAACGCGCUAAGUUCUCCGCCUGGGGAGUACGGCCGCAAGGUUGAA